rnacentral:sRNA from 12 species
ACCUUGCUGACGAACUGAACGGCAUCCAGCAGCGAGAACUGGGCAGGGU